UGGAUUUUCCUUUGUUGGGACCACAGUGGUAGAUGACAAAGCUGUGCUCUUGAGAAAUAAGAGUGAACACUGUCAUUCACAGCUUGUUACACCACAGAGAAACUCUAAACAGUUCUCUCUGGCAAGAUAGCAAGAUGACUUUCUCCGGAUUUUAACCUGUGGCUGAGGAUCUUCAAGUGAGAGCUCUGCCAUUUGAUUGGAAAAAUCAAGUCCCUGAACUCAGGGCCACCAUGCUAGAUAAAACUUCUAUAAGGCACCUGAGAGAGAGAGGGGGAGAGAGAGAACACCUCCAGAGAGCAGCCUGCUGAUAGAGCCUACUUCUGACAAUAUGUGUAUACAGAGAAGCACAGUAAAAGUUAUCAGGCCUAGGGAGUAGAGGGGCAAGAUGAAGUGAGCCAUCCCAUUCCACAAGAAGCAACAAAGACUGAUUCAGAAAGUCAGUGCUGUAGCUUAAACAUGGAGGACAAGAGAGAUCCUUAGAGGUGAGAAGCAGUUCUUGCAUGACCAGUGACUAUCACCAUACAUCUGCUACCACACAGUUAGACAUUUUCUGUGGCCAGUUCUAAAAGUCCAACAGGGAGAAGAAAAAUAAGAGACAAAACCUUGGAAUUCCAUAGGAUAGAUUCCAUUUAUUGGCCCUGGAGGCUGACAAGGAACCAACACCUGUGCCCAAAUGUUUUUAGAACCUUGGCAACGGAAGGCAUGUUCAUUAUGCAAGAGAGCUGUAGUUCCAAGUGUGCUUAAGGCAUAGAAGAAUAGCAGACUUUUCACUUGCAAGAAGAAAAACAGGUUAAAGAGCAGGACGACUGGCAUAAUAGAGUUAUUAGUGUGAACAACCUUGAUGAAACUUCUGACUACCUGGAGCGCACAUUACUAGUGGAAAUCAUGUUUUUUGGUAAGCUUGUUUGGUGACCUAAAAAUCAGUGUUGGUGAUCACAUCAGAAUUGGGAAAUCUCAAGAAAGAAGCUCAUUUUCUCUCAGCAGGUCA